CAGCAGCCACGGGAAUACAGAGGGUGCGAGCGUUAAUCGGAUUUACUGGGCGUAAAGCGUGCGUAGGCGGCUUCUUAAGUCGGAUGUGAAAUACCUGAGCUUAACUUAGGAAUUGCAUUCGAUACUGGGAAGCUAGAGUAUGGGAGAGGAUGGUAGAAUUCCAGGUGUAGCGGUGAAAUGCGUAGAGAUCUGGAGGAAUACCGAUGGCGAAGGCAGCCAUCUGGCCUAAUACUGACGCUGAGGUACGAAAGCAUGGGGAGCAAACAGGAUUAGAUACCCCUGUAGUCCCUGUCUCUUAUAC
rnacentral:rRNA from 1 species